rnacentral:rRNA from 1 species
AAUAGAUACCCGGGUAGUCCACGCCGUAAACGAUGAGUGCUAAGUGUUAGGGGGUUUCCGCCCCUUAGUGCUGCAGCUAACGCAUUAAGCACUCCGCCUGGGGAGUACGGUCGCAAGACUGAAACUCAAAGGAAUUGACGGGGCCCGCACAAGCGGUGGAGCAUGUGGUUAAUUCGAAGCAACGCGAAGAACCUUACCAGGUCUUGACAUCCCAUUGACCGCUAUGGAGACAUAGCUUUCCCUUCGGGGACAGUGGUGACAGGUGGUGCAUGGUUGUCGUCAGCUCGUGUCGUGAGAUGUUGGGUUAAGUCCCGCAACGAGCGCAACCCUUGUUCUUAGUUGCCAUCAUUUAGUUGGGCACUCUAAGGAGACUGCCGGUGACAAACCGGAGGAAGGUGGGGAUGACGUCAAAUCAUUAUGCCCCUUAUGACCUGGGCUACACACGUGCUACAAUGGACGGUCAAACGGUUGCCAACCCGGCAGGGGGAGCUAAUCCGGAUAAAAACCGUUCUCAGUUCGGAUUGUAGGCUGCAACUCGCCUACAU